GAAAUGCGAUAAGUAAUGUGAAUUGCAGAAUUCAGUGAAUCAUCGAAUCUUUGAACGCACAUUGCGCCCGCCAGUAUUCUGGCGGGCAUGCCUGUUCGAGCGUCAUUUCAACCAUCAAGCCCCCGGGCUUGUGUUGGGGACCUGCGGCUGCCCGCAGGCCCUGAAAACCAGUGGCGGGCUCGCUGUCACACCGGGCGUAGUAGAUUUUAUCUCGCUCAGGGCGUGCUGCGGGUUCCGGCCGUUAAAAAGCCUUUUUUACCCAAGGUUGACCUCGGAUCAGGUAGGAAGACCCGCUGAACUUAAGC
rnacentral:misc_RNA from 1 species